GACGAACGCUGGCGGCGUGCUUAACACAUGCAAGUCGAGCGAUCGGCCUUGGAGGGGUAACCCUCCUUGGUAAGGAGCGGCGAACGGGUGAGUAACACGUGGGCGACCUGCCCCUGACUCUGGGACAACCCCGGGAAACCGGGGCUAAUACCGGAUGACAUCGAAGUGCUGCAUGGCACCGCGAUCAAAGCUCCGGCGGUCAGGGAUGGGCCCGCGGCCUAUCAGCUUGUUGGUGGGGUAACGGCCUACCAAGGCGACGACGGGUAGCUGGCGUGAGAGCGUGACCAGCCACACUGGGACUGAGACACGGCCCAGACUCCUACGGGAGGCAGCAGUGGGGAAUCUUGCGCAAUGGGCGAAAGCCUGACGCAGCGACGCCGCGUGCGGGAUGAAGGCCCUCGGGUUGUAAACCGCUUUCGGCAGGGACGAAGCGAAAGUGACGGUACCUGCAGAAGAAGCCCCGGCUAACUACGUGCCAGCCGCCGCAGUAACAC
rnacentral:rRNA from 1 species